AAAAUGAUGAUGGGGAGAGUCGGGAGACCAAGCGAAGUAUUCAUGAUGCUCUGUGCGUUGCAAGGAAUCUGAUCAUCAACAACUCAAUUGUGUAUGGUGGUGGCUCAGAAUAUCUUGCUCAAUUGUUGUUGAAGCCGCAGCGGAUCGGCAUCCUGAAGUUGAGCAGUAUGCAAUCAGGGCGCUUGCUGAUGCUUUGGAUGCUAUCCCACUAGCUUUAGCUGAAAACAGUAGUAAAAUCCCAACAUGUCAAGAGGGUCAAUGUCAAAGGGUCAUAUUUAUCCAGCGGUCCUUCCUGUCGAAAGCAAGAAAAUGUCCUGAAAGGUUUGUUGACAGUUAUACAAGGUUCAUCUGCUUAUCUUUUUCUUUUUUGACAUUACUUUGAAUCUGUAGAUUUGCUAAUAUGUUGUCAUGUUAUCUUAUUUCACCACUGUCAUGAGGGCUUAUAGUUCUGCCGUUUUGCUCAACCCAGAAUAUGGAACUGCCGGAAUGUUUAAAAUGUUGGAAACUAUCGGUGGAAGCUACAAGAUUUAUUUAUCAAAACUCAUUACCAAUCAGAUUAGAGAGGUAAGUGAUUGGGGUAAUGUUUUGGUCAAAUACUUUUGCACAGAAGCCUCACUGUACAAAGUACUUCUUAUUCAGAUCAUGAGACAUUUUUUCCAUACCAUCCCUUUGAAAUGAAAUACCAUUAUUAGAGGGAGCUUCACGGGUAAAUGGUGGCAUUGUGGCAGCUAAUUGUAACAUCUUAUUUUGUUAUAUGUGGUUCCAAAAGUAUUGGCCAGUCAGAAUGCAAGUGCAUGCCUUAAAAUAAAUGUAAGUGUAGGUUUACAACUAGCACAAUGUGACUAUUUUUGUGAUAAUGAAGAAAUAUGAAGUACUUCCAAAAUUAAAAGUAAAUGGAAUUUGCAACAAGGGUAAUUCCUUUUUGAGAAAACGCAACAUCUGCUUUGGUCUUGGUGUACAGGCUUCUGUUCCUGGAAAAGAAGCAAUAUAUAGUCACUUUUAUUUUGCAAGCAUCAUGUGUAAGUCACCCAGGGUUUUUUUCUCUCUCAAGGAACUUGCGGGAGCACAUCCUUGUAGAGUACGUAAUGGGCCUAAUGGGCCUGGGCUGGCGGUAUAGCCCGUUAGUCUUAGGGUUAAUUAGAGAUAAGGGUCGCUUGCUUAGGGGUCAAGUAAGCCU